UGGGGAAUCUUGCGCAAUGGGCGAAAGCCUGACGCAGCAACGCCGCGUGCGGGAUGAAGGCCUUCGGGUUGUAAACCGCUUUCAGCAGGGACGAAAUUGACGGUACCUGCAGAAGAAGCCCCGGCCAACUACGUGCCAGCAGCCGCGGUAAUACGUAGGGGGCGAGCGUUGUCCGGAUUUAUUGGGCGUAAAGAGCUCGUAGGCGGUUGGGUAAGUCGGGUGUGAAAACUCAGGGCUCAACUCUGAGACGCCACUCGAUACUGCCCUGACUCGAGUCCGGUAGGGGAGCGUGGAAUUCCCGGUGUAGCGGUGAAAUGCGCAGAUAUCGGGAGGAACACCAGUGGCGAAGGCGGCGCUCUGGGCCGGAACUGACGCUGAGGAGCGAAAGCGUGGGUAGCAAACAG
rnacentral:rRNA from 1 species